rnacentral:rRNA from 1 species
AUUGAACGCUGGCGGCAGGCCUAACACAUGCAAGUCGAGCGGAUGAAGGUAGCUUGCUCCUGGAUUCAGCGGCGGACGGGUGAGUAAUGCCUAGGAAUCUGCCUGGUAGUGGGGGAUAACGUCCGGAAACGGGCGCUAAUACCGCAUACGUCCUGAGGGAGAAAGUGGGGGAUCUUCGGACCUCACGCUAUCAGAUGAGCCUAGGUCGGAUUAGCUAGUUGGUGGGGUAAAGGCCUACCAAGGCGACGAUCCGUAACUGGUCUGAGAGGAUGAUCAGUCACACUGGAACUGAGACACGGUCCAGACUCCUACGGGAGGCAGCAGUGGGGAAUAUUGGACAAUGGGCGAAAGCCUGAUCCAGCCAUGCCGCGUGUGUGAAGAAGGUCUUCGGAUUGUAAAGCACUUUAAGUUGGGAGGAAGGGCAGUAAGUUAAUACCUUGCUGUUUUGACGGUACCAACAGAAUAAGCACCGGCUAACUUCGUG